rnacentral:rRNA from 1 species
UACGUAGGGUGCAAGCGUUAAUCGGAAUUACUGGGCGUAAAGCGUGCGCAGGCGGUUAUGUAAGACAGAUGUGAAAUGCCCGGGCUUAACCUGGGAACUGCAUUUGUGACUGCAUGGCUAGAGUACGGUAGAGGGGGAUGGAAUUCCGCGUGUAGCAGUGAAAUGCGUAGAUAUGCGGAGGAACACCGAUGGCGAAGGCAAUCCCCUGGACCUGUACUGACGCUCAUGCACGAAAGCGUGGGGAGCAAACAGG